rnacentral:snRNA from 1 species
AUCACUUCUCGGCUUUUUGGCUAAGAUCAAGUGUAGUAUCUGUUCUUAUUAGUUUACUAUCUGAUAUGUCCUCUAUCCGAGGACAAUAUAUUAAAUAGAUUUUUGUAGCUCGGAGUUGGAAUAGGAGCUUACUCCGUCCACUCCACGCAUUGACCUGGUAUUGCAGUACUUCCAGGAAUGGUGCACCCCCU